AGAGUUUGAUUAUGGCUACAGGAUGAACGCUGGCGGCGUGCCUAAUACAUGCAAGUCGAGCGAGGUAGCUUGCUACCUAGCGGCGAACGGGUGAGUAACACGUAGGUAACCUGCCUUUAAGAUUGGGAUACCCAGACGAAAGUUUGGCUAAUACCGGAUAACAACGGAGAUCGCAUGACCUCCGCUUGAAAGGUGCGUUUGCACCGCUUUUAGAUGGACCUGCGGCACAUUAGCUAGUUGGUGAGAUAACAGCCCACCAAGGCGAGGAUGUGUAGCCGACCUGAGAGGGUGACCGGCACAAUGGGACUGAGACACGGCCCAUACUCCUACGGGAGGCAGCAGUAGGGAGUUUUCGGCAAUGGGCGAAAGCCUGACCGAGCAACGCCGCGUGAGUGAUGAAAGGUCUUCGGAUUGUAAAGCUCUGUUACGAGGGACGAAACCUGCGAUCAGGAAAUGGGUUGCAGCUGACGGUACCUCGCCAGAAAGUGACGGCUAACUACGUGCCAGCCGCGGC
rnacentral:rRNA from 1 species